GGCUUCGUGCUCUGAGGAAUGGCUCCAGGCUUUAGUAAACGUCUUUUGUGAAUCAUCUCCUGCAAAGUAUUAGCAGUUCAAGGUUGGUUUAAUACAUCAUAAAAGUGGGAAGUUGAUUUACAAGAGCAUUGGUAUAAAUUAGCCAAAAAGUUGUCAGACACCAGCUUUUCUUGGUUAAUCAAGGGUACAUAAGCUGAUUUAACCUAUAAAUUUGAGUAAGCUCUCCAGGUUAUGUUCAUUAUCAUGCUUUAAGGAAAACUUGUGUCGAUUCAAUUAUUCAAGAAAGGAUCUUCUUUGCUGUCAAGUGUUAACAUUUAUCUUUCUCUCUUUAAUGUUUCCUCCGUGCUAAGCAACAUGGAUUUGAGGGAUUAUAGAUAACAUUGACUUUGAACACUUUCAAUCAUCAAUAUGCCGUAAAUUGGAUUCCGAUAGGCUUUCACAGGCAUUCCAACGGGUGCCCUGACUUAUAGUUUCAUCCAAACAUUGGAGCAAGAGACUAAAUUGGCGUAUGAACGCUUACUCAUGAGUAUGCAGAAUAAGAUUCAUGAAGCAAAGACUUAGCUCUUCCCGAAAAAAGUAAAAAGGGCAAGGAAAAGUUACUUCUGCAAGGAAAAGUUACUUCUAGGAGCAGUUCUUUCAGGAAUGCCUUUUCUGCCAUUCUUUGUUUGGUUUCAUCCUUAUUUUUUCCAGGAACACUAUGAUAGUAGUCUUACGAAAAAAUUAACGCUCUA